GGAUUGUGGCUCAGUGGUAGAGAGCUUGCCUAGCAUGUAUGAGGCACGGGGUUCAAUCCUCAGCACCA
rnacentral:tRNA from 1 species